CUAUGGGGCUGGUGUGGGGUUGAUCCCCCAUCCAUGGGGCAGGGGCGGUGCUAGAUCCCACCCCCAGUAUUCCUGAUGUUCCUGCCACUGGGGAGCAUUCCCAGUAUUCCCAGUACUGGGGAGUAUUCCCAGCAUUCCGGAGCAUUCCCCGGUAUUCCUGGCACUGGGAAGCCUUCCCAGUGGUGGGGAUCAUUCCCAGUAUUCCCAGCAUCCGAUGUUCUGGAUCGUUCCUGGUAUUCCCAAGACCUUGGGAAGCAUUCCCAAUGUUCCCAGUAUUCCCAGCGUUGGGAGAGCUUUCCCAGUAUCCGACGUUCUGGAUCAUUCCCAGUAUUCCCAGUAUUCCCAAGGCCUUAUGAAGCAUUCCCAGCGUUCCCAGUAUUCCGGGAGAGCUUUCCCAGUAUCCAAUGCUCUGGAUCCUUCCCAGUAUUCCCAGUAUUCCCAAGGCCUUAUGAAGCAUUCCCAGCGUUCCCAGUAUUCCGGGAGAGCUUUCCCAGUAUCCGAUGUUCUGGAUUGUUCCCAGUGUUCCCAGUAUUCCCAGCAUUUGGGGAGAGCUUUCCCAGUGUCCGAUGUUCUGGAGCAUUCCCAGUGUUCCCAGUAUUCCAAGCAUUUGGGGAGAGCUUUCCCAGUAUCCGAUGUCCUGGAGCAUUCCCAGUAUUCCCAGUCUCGGGGAGCAAUCCCAGCAUUCCGGAGCAUUCCUGAUGUUCUGGAGCAUUCCUGGGGCUUCCCAGUAUUCCCAGUAUCCCCAGCACUGGGGAGCAUUCCCAGUAUUCCCAACAUUCCCAUCUGCCAAAUCCAGCUCCGGCUCCGUUCCGGGAUGAGCCAAUUCCGGGUGGAUUUACCCCAAAAUU
rnacentral:lncRNA from 1 species